rnacentral:rRNA from 1 species
AGAGUUUGAUCCUGGCUCAGGACGAACGCUGGCGGCGUGCCUAAUACAUGCAAGUCGAACGCUUCUUUUUCCACCGGAGCUUGCUCCACCGGAAAAAGAGGAGUGGCGAACGGGUGAGUAACACGUGGGUAACCUGCCCAUCAGAAGGGGAUAACACUUGGAAACAGGUGCUAAUACCGUAUAACAAUCGAAACCGCAUGGUUUUGAUUUGAAAGGCGCUUUCGGGUGUCGCUGAUGGAUGGACCCGCGGUGCAUUAGCUAGUUGGUGAGGUAACGGCUCACCAAGGCGACGAUGCAUAGCCGACCUGAGAGGGUGAUCGGCCACAUUGGGACUGAGACACGGCCCAAACUCCUACGGGAGGCAGCAGUAGGGAAUCUUCGGCAAUGGACGAAAGUCUGACCGAGCAACGCCGCGUGAGUGAAGAAGGUUUUCGGAUCGUAAAACUCUGUUGUUAGAGAAGAACAAGGAUGAGAGUAACUGUUCAUCCCUUGACUGUAUCUAACCAGAAAGCCACGGCUAACUACGUGCCAGCAGCCGCGGUAAUACGUAGGUGGCAAGCGUUGUCCGGAUUUAUUGGGCGUAAAGCGAGCGCAGGCGGUUUCUUAAGUCUGAUGUGAAAGCCCCCGGCUCAACCGGGGAGGGUCAUUGGAAACUGGGAGACUUGAGUGCAGAAGAGGAGAGUGGAAUUCCAUGUGUAGCGGUGAAAUGCGUAGAUAUAUGGAGGAACACCAGUGGCGAAGGCGGCUCUCUGGUCUGUAACUGACGCUGAGGCUCGAAAGCGUGGGGAGCAAACAGGAUUAGAUACCCUGGUAGUCCACGCCGUAAACGAUGAGUGCUAAGUGUUGGAGGGUUUCCGCCCUUCAGUGCUGCAGCUAACGCAUUAAGCACUCCGCCUGGGGAGUACGACCGCAAGGUUGAAACUCAAAGGAAUUGACGGGGGCCCGCACAAGCGGUGGAGCAUGUGGUUUAAUUCGAAGCAACGCGAAGAACCUUACCAGGUCUUGACAUCCUUUGACCACUCUAGAGAUAGAGCUUCCCCUUCGGGGGCAAAGUGACAGGUGGUGCAUGGUUGUCGUCAGCUCGUGUCGUGAGAUGUUGGGUUAAGUCCCGCAACGAGCGCAACCCUUAUUGUUAGUUGCCAUCAUUUAGUUGGGCACUCUAGCAAGACUGCCGGUGACAAACCGGAGGAAGGUGGGGAUGACGUCAAAUCAUCAUGCCCCUUAUGACCUGGGCUACACACGUGCUACAAUGGGAAGUACAACGAGUCGCAAAGUCGCGAGGCUAAGCUAAUCUCUUAAAGCUUCUCUCAGUUCGGAUUGUAGGCUGCAACUCGCCUACAUGAAGCCGGAAUCGCUAGUAAUCGCGGAUCAGCACGCCGCGGUGAAUACGUUCCCGGGCCUUGUACACACCGCCCGUCACACCACGAGAGUUUGUAACACCCGAAGUCGGUGAGGUAACCUUUUGGAGCCAGCCGCCUAAGGUGGGAUAGAUGAUUGGGGUGAAGUCGUAACAAGGUAGCCGUAUCGGAAGGUGCGGCUGGAUCACCU